rnacentral:lncRNA from 1 species
GAUUCAUAGUCUUUGGUAGCAUUUUGGUUCUCCUAUUAGUGAUCAUCAUAUACUCAUGAGGAGAAUAUCUCUAGAAAGGUCGAUGCUCUCUAGUAAAUCUUCUCAAUUGAGGCUCGACUGGUGGUUCUAGAGAGGUUUUCUCAACAUGCUUAUUAGCGCAUCAUUAUCAAGUAUGAACUCAUCAACUACAUUAUUAUCAUCUUUCUAUACAUCAUCUCUAUUAUCAUCAUUCUCCAUGGUAGGAAGCAUCGGACC